rnacentral:tRNA from 1 species
GGUUCUAUAGUAAAAAAAUAACGUUGAAUUGCAAAUUCAAAGAUGUGCUGGACACUAGAACUU